GCACCAACUUUGACAGCAUGUCCUGAAAUUGGAAUGAUACAGAGAAAAUGAGCAUAGCCCCCCUACACAAGGAUGACAUACAAAUUCUUGAAGUGUUCCUUAUUAAA
rnacentral:snRNA from 1 species